rnacentral:rRNA from 1 species
UACGUAGGCAGCAAGCGUUGUUCGGAGUUACUGGGCGUAAAGGGUGUGUAGGCGGUUAGCCAAGUUGUGCAUGAAAGCUGCCCGCUCAACGGGCAGAGGCUGUGCAAUACUGGCUGACUAGAGGCUGUGAGAGGGAUGCGGAAUUCCGGGUGUAGUGGUGAAAUGCGUAGAGAUCCGGAAGAACACCAGAGGCGAAGGCGGCAUCCUGGCACAGAACUGACGCUGAGCCACGACAGCAUGGGGAGCGAACGGG